GAUGAACGCUGGCGGCGUGCCUAAUACAUGCAAGUCGAGCGAACAGACGAGGAGCUUGCUCCUCUGACGUUAGCGGCGGACGGGUGAGUAACACGUGGAUAACCUACCUAUAAGACUGGGAUAACUUCGGGAAACCGGAGCUAAUACCGGAUCAUAUAUUGAACCGCAUGGUUCAAUAGUGAAAGACGGUUUUGCUGUCACUUAUAGAUGGAUCCGUGCCGCAUUAGCUAGUUGGUAAGGUAACGGCUUACCAAGGCAACGAUGCGUAGCCGACCUGAGAGGGUGAUCGGCCACACUGGAACUGAGACACGGUCCAGACUCCUACGGGAGGCAGCAGUAGGGAAUCUUCCGCAAUGGGCGAAAGCCUGACGGAGCAACGCCGCGUGAGUGAUGAAGGUCUUCGGAUCGUAAAACUCUGUUAUUAGGGAAGAACAAAUGUGUAAGUAACUAUGCACGUCUUGACGGUACCUAAUCAGAAAGCCACGGCUAACUACGUG
rnacentral:rRNA from 1 species